GCUGAGAACUUUGGUCGUGAUUAGCCCAUGGCCGAACAACUAAAAGAUGGUUUCACCGAUCCCCGAUAUCGACGUUCUCCCGUGGACAAAGAGGCCAGCUACAAGCACGCUUGCGAAUAUUUGGCAGCCGGGCAGCGGUGGGGGCAGGGGCGGAGCGCACGUGCCCCUGCUCCCAGAACUUUGGUCGUGAUUAGCCCAUGGCCGAACAACUAAAAGAUGGUUUCACCGAUCCCCGAUAUCGACGUUCUCCCGUGGACAAAGAGGCCAGCUACAAGCACGCUUGCGAAUAUUUGGCAGCCGGGCAGCGGUGGGGGCAGGGGCGGAGCGCACGUGCCCCUGCUCCCCGGCAGCGGCGGCUGGAGCUCCGGCAAACUCCUAUGUACGGGGGAACGACGGUCCAGGAACGGAUUUUUUUUUUUUGAGCGGAUCCAGGAACGGAUUUUUUUUUUGGCCGAAUCCAGGAACGGAUCGUGCUCCUGAAGGCCCUGAGAACGAAAGAGGUCGAUUCUUUUUUCUGGGCCACAUCGUUUUCCCUCUUAAUCCCUCUCUCUCCGGCCGUGCCUGUAGGCCAUAACUCACAGCCAUAGAUGGCCUUGAUAUUUAGGCCCGACUUCUACUUUGUUCCCUUGGGUUUGGGCCUCAGGGAGGCUGGUCCUUGUUAACAGAUCCUAGCUACCUUGUGUAAUCGGUUGUGUAAGAGCAUCUCCUAAGGCAUAUCUAUAUUUGGGUAUAAUACUCAAAAAGUGUCAAUAUAUGUAUUUUGCCCUAAAAUCUAGCUCCAGCAGCAUAACCAAAAAAGUUGGAUGCCCAUAUUUUUUUGGGUAGUUACCCAUAUUCUAGUCCCCAAUACCCAAAUUUGGGUAUUCCCGGCUAGACUACCCAAAUGACCCAAAACGAAGCGCGCGCACCCAAAUUUAUAUUAUCAACACUCCUCCUCACGUCUAGGCUAUUUUAGUCCUUAGCGUGGGUUCGAUGUAGGCCACAGAAUAUUUUUUUUAAUACUGCAUGAGCAGGGAGGUUGGUUCACAUGGCUAGCACAUCAAUCUUACAUGGUAUCAGAGCCAGGAGGUCUCAAGUUUAAGACCAUACUCAUGU
rnacentral:lncRNA from 1 species